GUUAUUUCUCUGCCAGUGAAAUGAGCCAAUUCAAACCAGAUUAGAUUAGAUCAAAUGCAGGUUUAGUGGGAAGCUGCUCUCUUCCCAAGGAAGGAGGCCAGGAAGUCACCAUGGGAAGGGACAGAUGGGAGAGGAGCAAGAGAGAAAAGAAGAAAGAGGGGGGAGGGAGGGAGAUAGGGAAAGAGGGAGAGAGCAAAAUGUCUGGGUUAUAUAGGGAAGAACUUCUGGGGGAAGGGCAGGAUUGGGGGGCAGGGUAUGCCAGGUAGGGACUGAGGAAUGCUGGGAGAACUUGGAGGCCAGGUCUGCUUUGAUAUGUAAAAUAUGCACCUCGGUCCCUUUUCUUGGGGUCUAAAACCAAAUACAUAUGUGUAUAUGCAUGCAUGUUGUCAUGUGGAUAAGGUGGUCAGAGGACAAUGUGAGGUUCUCUCCUUCCACCAUUUGCACCCCAGAGCUGAACUCAGGAGGUCAGGGUCAGCACAAUGCGUUCUUACCCGCUGAGCCUUGCCCACCCAUCUUCCCAACAGUCGUGAAGUAAGUAGCUCUGCUUUGCC
rnacentral:lncRNA from 1 species